GUUGGGGCCAGUGAAUGGUCCUCUGGCGCUCCCUAAACUCCUGGAGCUGCUGCCAGCCCUGCACAGUCUACAUCACCUGGAUCUGGAGAACAGUAAACUGGGGGACAGUGGGGCUGAGGGUCUGGCAGGAGUUGUGCUGUCUCUCUCCUCUCUGCAGAUUAUCAAUCUGUCCCAGAACUGUAUAGGAGACCAGGGAAUAGAGAGUCAGCUCCUGCUCUGUCUACCCUCCCCUCGCUGCACUGUCUCAGUCUGUACAGUAAUGUGAUAUCUGACGGGGGUGCUGAGAGUCUGGCUGCUGUUUUACCUCAGAUGACAUCACUCAGUGACCUGGA